UAAUAGGCGAGAUGUCAAGAGCCAUUGUUCAUCAUCAUCCACAGCAGCAGCAGCAGCAACGGAAAAAAAGAAUUGACGAACUGUUACUGAAAAUUAGAAAAUUAAAGUGGGAUGUUGAAAUGCUGGGUUGUCAGCGCCGUAUGAAAAAACUGAUUUUGUAAUGAUUCAUACAGUGGCAGUUAAGGCAAGGAUUAUUUCUUUGUGUGUGAGGCAAUGGCAUAAAUACGACGACGAUGGUUAUUUCUUGUGUACCAAUUAAGACAAUUUGUAUGUAAAGUUUGCGAAUUAAAAGAAUGUAUAAAGGGUGCUUAUUCAUUUUCCCCCGACAUCCAUCCUUUAGAACCAGCCUCUUUAAAAAAAUUUGGGGAUUGGUGUUUAAUGAACUCUCAAUUUUAAAAACGAGUACACUGUACCUACCGUGAAUAGACGUUCUGCAUGGUAUCGCGCAUUUGGUAAAAAUAGAAAAUUAUCAGCUCGCAUUAUGCCGACUUGCGUAUGCACUCAUUUCAUUGCACAGUGAUAUUCGCCGAUUCGCGAUGUGUUGUGGAAAAUAAUUUUGGUGUUUCUUUGUGAUAAUGAUUAAUUCGGAUUAGUAUUUUCACUCGAACUCAGGUUUUCAUCUUGAACUCGUGAUGCAUCCAACUCCCGUUCUAAACGCUCCGUCUGGAGUUGGGAAUUUCUUUGUCUGGCCUGGAAAGUUGUCAGCAUCUUCUCCAGACACCCCAUUGAUAACAUCGCCAGCUCUUGGGGUGUGGAUGGCUCGCGCCAUCUGGGCGAUUCAUGAGAUGGCGGCGGUGGUGGUGGCGCCUCUUCUUGGUCGAUGGCUGCUGAAGACGGCGGAGAGACGUUUUCAUAAAAUUCUCUUAGUAAUUGCAUAUCUUUUUCCCCCCUAGGCAACGGGGCACUGUAACAAUAAGAAAAACACAGUAUUAAAAAUAGAUUGUAUGUAUAAUAAAAGUAACUUACUGAAAGUGA